CAUUCUCAAAACUUUUGGCCAUGACUGUACAAUGAUUUCAACUUCUUAUCUUUCGCCUUGGCGCGCUAAAACUGUUGGACAUUCAAGACAGGCAUGAAUUCACACGGUCUAAAAAUAGCAUUGUAAAUACGAACUCAUACUGUGUAGACUAGAGUGUAGGCUGAAAACUGCAUCGAUAGCUUCUGUAUUUUUAUAAUUUGCGUAGUUUGAAGCAAAUGAAUAGGUAAUGGACACCGAUUAAUUGAUAGAGAUCAUACAUAAACUUCAUUCCGUUUUUAUCUGAACAGUUAUCAAUUGGAAAUGUCAAACCAACUCUGAUUAAGCAGAGAUCAGAACUUGCCAGAAGAAGGUUGAGAAAGUCUUGAUUAACAAUGGCGAAGUUAACAACAUAGCAACCUAUUGGAAAUUAGUUCACUCCGUUUCAUGUCAGAAGAAACUCGUGGGGAGUAAAGCAAGAAAAUAAAAAAAGGUGCAUUUUGUCUAUUAAUUUGCUGGCAAGAGUUCUGGAAGAAAAAUGAUAAAGCAGUUAUAGACACUCCUGGUCUUUGUGCUCCUCUUACUCUGCCUCUGGCACCAUGAUCCCCUGGUUACCCGAGUGCUACAUUGUCAUGGGGGCUGUGCCGAGGUGGACUCCAUGACAGAGGCGGUGGCCGGGGAGAGCUUCCUCAUGGACUGAAUCUCCUGUAAGAGGAGGUCCAGGCCCAUACCACGGUUGACUGGCACUUCAGAGCCACAGGAGAGGAGGAGUACAUCCGCAUAAAUAGAGGGUCCGGUUAGCCCUGACCAUUAUCCGUUUCGAAUUCAUCAACUCAAAGACGCUUGCCCGCUCCAUCAAAACUCCGUAAGUUUUCCGCCAUGUGUAGAUCAAUCGUUCCUGCCUGUAAAUUCUGGGUAUGCCCACAUCAUUAAUUAAUAAGAUGUGUAGAAAACUGUUUAGCCAUAGUUAAAGGCCUUUCAUAAAGAGGCUGUCAUGAUUGCAUGUGCCACAUGUUUAACACGUAUUGCUUGUUACAGAAUACUACUGUUGUACAUUUAAUAUCCCCUUGCAGAUUUCGUGGCAUUUGCACAAAUUCUGUCAUGUUACUGUGGUCUUUUUAAAAGUCAAUAAAUAUGUGUGUAAAGUGUA